AGACCUUAACAAAUAGCUGAAAAUCAAGCUCGAGGUAGAAGGACAAAACCUGAAAACCAUCCAAGGUUUGUGGAGUUCUGGUGCAGCAGCCGUUGAAAAUAGCAGCUUUAAUAUGCAUUCUUCUCACACCCACCAUAUGGAUUGUGAUCAUGAACCUGUUUUGCAAAUAGGGUACAAUCACUUCGUUGGGGCUGAAGGAUCUUCAGCCCCCAAAAGCAUGGCUGGUGAGACCAACUUCAUCGACGGAUGGAUCAUAUGAGCCUUCUCCUACAAGAACUUAACUAUAUUAAAUAUUAUAUAUAUAGUAUUUUAUGAUUUUGUGUAUUGUUUUUGUACUGGGAUUUGUAAUCUUGCCAAUAUAUAGAGAGAGAGAUAGACAAGCUGCUCAAGUGUACAACAGAAUCUUAAGGGAGCAUUUCUCCUCUAUUAUGAUAUAUGAUCUUGCCUAUAUAAAUAUACACCUUUUUACUGU